AUAAAGAACCACAGAACUUUUAGAAGAUACCUGAAGGCAGUCUGUAUCAGUUUGGAAAGGUACUCUUGCACACCUCAGAACAUUUGCGGCAUAAAAUGUUUCAGGAUUUCAGCAGGAAGAUAUAACAACAAUACAUCAACAAAAGGAACAAGAAAUAGAGCUCCCAUUCCUGCCCAUCUUCUUCAGCAACUGUUUGGACAUUUCACGCUGUUUCUUCAGUCCACAGAGCAGCUCCAUUAGUCCCACAAAAUAUCCAGUCAUGUCAGGUCAAUCCUGUCUUGAAAGACUCAUGGGUAGCUGGCAGCCUUCUGACACCAGCCUGUAUAUUUAUAUAAACUAAUAAAGCAAAUCUGCAUUUCGCCAAAACCAGCAUAACUGUCCUGAUUUCGCAAUGCUCGCUUCUCACUUUCCUUUACUCUUUCAUAAUUCUAGGGAAGGUGGUGCCAUCGCACAGUAAUGUUUUGCCGUCACCAUCCUUGCUGCU